AAAAACUUGCUCAGAUGAGGGAGUUUGAGUGCUUGGAGGAAAGGAAGAUUAAUCUCCAACUUUCCAAAUAUCUUCAUGAAAUCCAUUAGCUCUUCCUUCGGCUUCUUCUUUGCUAACCUCCUAGGAAAGGGAACAGGUAUCUCGAUCUCGGGAUCAUGUAGACUCAAAGGUUUAUGAACCUUAGACUGCUCACCCUCAACCAAUUUGUGUUCUGCCUCUUUUCCUUUCUGCACAGCUGCCAGGUCACCGUUCUGUUUGGCCAAACCGGACUGAUCUGCAUUCUGGAUUGCAGAAUCCACCUUGCCUCCAGAAUUUUUGAAUUUUUGCAAUUGAGAUUCGACUCCAGAGUCCUUACUCGGACAUCCACUUGAAUUCUGGGUUGUGGGCUCACUCAACUCCUUGCUACUCCUCAAAGUAAUCAUACUAACGUUCUCCCUCGGAUUCAAUUGGACUUGAGAUGGUAACUUGCCUUGAUGGCCCUUGAGUUGAUUCACGGACGUUGCAAGCUGAGACACUUGACGAGCCAACCCUUCGAUCUGAACCCUUUGCUCUGCUUGAGACUGUUGGAGUUUUAGCACCGCUUCAUUGGUUGUUUGCAAAUUAUUUUGCAACAAUUGUUGUGAGCCAAUCAACUCUCUCAUCAUCUCUUCAAGAGCUUUUCCUUGAUUUUCUUGUGGAGGUGGUGGUGCUUUUGGAAUCCUCUUUGAUGAGGCGGUCUAUAGCUUUGCUGCUGCUGCUGCACUUGAUUGCUUUGGUCUCUCCAACGAAAAUUAGGGUGAUCUCUCCACGGCGCAUUGUAGUUGCUCGAGUAGGGGUCCUGUUUGGGCAAAAGGGGCAGUGGAUCAGAACAACUGUAAAAGUUGUGAGACGAAUUCACUUGGGCUUGAAGAUCUUCGUCGCCCCCAGCGCAUUGCAAACUUGUAUGGCCAAAGUUACCACACGUUCCACAUGGUUUUUCUGUCGGUUGUCCAACAAUUGCCACCUUCUCCACCACAGUACUUAAUAUUCUUUCCAUCCUCCCCAUUCUUUCUUCGAACUUGUCCUCAAAGUUAGAGGAACUUGCCUGUGCAACUUUCUUGAGCAAUUGAAUACGUGGCUCCUCAUACUCUCUCGUUGCUUCCACCAAGUGUUGAAUCAACUUCUUAGCUUCGCUCACAGUAUUUUGAGAAAAUGCUCCUCCACUUGAUGAAUUCACCAGAUUUUUGGUAUCUACCGUCAUCCCUUGAUAGAAAUACUGCAGCAAAUCCCCCUCUGAAAACUUAUGGUUUGGACAGCUAUCCACCAACCUCCUGAAUCGAGUCUAGUAUGUGCUCAAUGACUCAUCGUACUCCUGCUUCACUCCACUAAUUUCCUUCUUUAGCGCAUUCGUCUUGGUGGGAGGGAAAAAAUGCUCCAGGAAUAGCUUUUUCAUCUCGACCCAUGAAGUGAUAGAAUAGGGUGGAAGACUCGCGAACCAAGAGUUCGCCUCUGCUGUCAUGGUGAAGGGAAAGGCAGCUAGUCUGAAGUGUUCCUCCGUAACUCCAGUGGGGCGUUUCUGGACUUUGCAAAUUUUGAUGAAUUCGCUCAAGAAAUUGUAUGGAUCUUCUCCCUUCUUGCCAUAGUACUUCGGGAGAACAUUAAGCAGUCCAAGCUUAAUCUUAAUACCGGUAGCAGCUGCCGGUAUCCGGAUUGGAGUUGGGGGGUCAUCAGCUUCGUGGCUAGAGAGAUCACACAGUCUAGGAUCGUCAACCAUGUCGCUCUCAGUACUUGCGAUAGAAAUCGAGUCGAUUUCUUCUUCACAGUCUGUGUCUGCAUCUGAAUCAGGGUCUGUUUGGGCAAACGGAUCCUCUGCAGCAAUCUGAACUUCUGGUUCAGACUUGAAAAACGUUUCUGUCCGGUCAGACGGAGCAAUUUCCGAGCCUUCCAGACCUUGCAGCUUCCUCGCCGUGGCCUCCUUCCUCAAUCUCUUCGCGGUUUUCUCGAUCUCAAAAUCGUAGAGGAGAUUCGGCUUAGAAGAUCUNAAGUCCUUCAAAAACUUGCUCAGAUGAGGGAGUUUGAGUGCUUGGAGGAAUGGAAGAUUAAUCUCCAACUUCUCGAAUAUCUUCAUGAAGUCAUUGAUCUCUUCCUCAGGCUUCUUCCUUGCUAACCUUCUUGGGAAAGGUACUGGUGGCACAAACUUAGGAUCGCGGAGGCUCAGUAUUGGUUCCUCCUUGGUCGAAUCAUCUUCAACACUUUCUCGUUCCGCCUCCCUUCCUUUCUGCACAGCUUCGGACUCACCGUCCUGUUUGGGUAAACGAGACGUAUUUCCAGAUUGACCUCCAGUGAGCACUAGUUCUUCAGAAUCGUUCUGUUUGGGCAAACAGUUGCUCUCGCCAGAUUCGCCUUCUCGAGCUUUUUCCACUUUCUUGAUUGGUGGUUCAUCCAAUUCUUUGCCACUUCUCAAGGUGAUAAAGUUCACACUUUCCUGAGGAUUCACUUGGACUUGCGAUGGCAAUUUGCGUUGAUGGCCCUUGAGUUGAUUCACGGAAGUUGCGAGUUGAGACACUUGACGAGCCAACCCCUCAAUCUGCACCUUCUGCUCGGCUUGGGAUUGUUGGAGUUGUUGCACAUUAUUUUGCAGAAAUUGCUGGUUGCCUAUCAAGUCUGCCAUCAUCUCCUCAAGUGAUUUGCCUUGCUUCUCGGGCGGAUGUUGCUGAGUUUGUGGAGCUUGGUACCCCGUCCUUUGAUGUGGAGGACGGUAGUUUUGCUGUUGUGGUUGCUGCAUCGUUGUGGUUGCUUCGGCUCGGGAUCUCUCCACGAAAAUUAGGGUGAUCUCUCCACGGCGCAUUGUAGUUGCUCGAGUAGGGGUCCUGUUUGGGCAAAAGGGUCAGUGGAUCAGAACAGCUGUAAAAAUUGUGAGACGAGUUCACUUGGGCUUGAAGAUCUUCGUCGCCCCCAGCGCAUUGCAAACUUGUAUGGCCAAAGUUACCACACGCGCCACAUGGUUUUUCUGUCGGUUGUCCAGCAUUUGCCACCUUCUCCACCACAGUACUUAACAUUCUUUCCAUCCUCCCCAUUCUUUCUUCGAACUUGUCCUCAAAGUUAGAGGAACUUGCCUGUGCAACUUUCUUGAGCAAUUGAAUGCGUGGCUCCUCAUACUCUCUCGUUGCUUCCACCAAGUGUUGAAUCAACUUCUU
rnacentral:lncRNA from 1 species